GUAUAAUCUAUUAAAAAAAGUAAGAGCCGAGGUCGCUUGCGGCCGAGGCAUUAGUAUUUAAAAUUGAAAUACGAAGUGCAACCAUUAAUCCCUUUAAAGAGUUCGUAACUGAGAUCGCUUGCGGUCGAAAACCGUUUUUAAAAACACCUUUUAGUUCUUGAGAUACAAUCAUUGAGGUCUUAUAUAUAAUCUAGAGUGCGUAUGUGGUGGUGGUGGGGGUAAUCAGAAAGUCGGACAUGUUGGAUGUACCGACCUGAACUUAGCUAUAGUUUCAAAUCUCUCUUGUCCCUAGAAUUAUAACCUCAAAAUUCUCAUAAACGUCACUUUCGUAGUUUCGUAUACGGUUUCGUAUUUGGAUACGUCGUUAUUUUCCAGUGUUGUGUUUGUUUUGUGUUAUUGUGUUUUUUAGGACAAAUUUUAGUAAACAUGGGACGAACAUGUAGUGUUAUCACUUGUAAAAAUUCUUAUAAAAACAAAAAUAUUACGUUUCACCGGUAAGUCGCUACUUUCGGAAUGUAAAUAAUCUUGUAAAUAAUUCUGUUUUUAUUUAUUUAGAAUUCCAGACUAUGCGAUUUUGAAGAGAAAGUGGAUAGAAGUUUUGGAAGGGAAUGUAAAGCGCACUGUAAAGACUAUUUUUAUUUGUAGUGAUCAUUUUAAUAAUGAGAGUUUGGACAAGUCGGGGCCUAAUGUUCGAGUAAAAUUAGGUUGUGUACCGGCAAAAAUAUAGUUUACUUCAAAAAAGAAUAAAUUUUAAUUUAUAAUCAAGAACACUUGACAAUAAAGUGUGUAGGUAUUUUAAUGUGAUUAAUAUACAUUAGGUAGGUAGUUAAAUAAGUACUUAGCAAUGCUUUAGCUUGAACGUAAGUAGAUCAAUUAUUUUUAACCUGUAUUUAUGUGAAUAUGUGUACAUUUGUGUAAGUAUACUCUGCAGCAUGUUGAGCAUAAUCUAAGUUUUUUAGAUCUACACACAAUAACCACAUAGUCACAAGUGCACGAUUUAGGUUUCAGAAAAAAGGCGAAGAGUCGUUUUAGACCAUACCUACUGCAUUAAUGAUGAAAAAUUAUAUAAAGAAGUACAGAUGUUAAGAAAAAAAAUGGUUUUUUACAAGAAAAAAAUUCAUUUGCUUCAGCAAAAUUUGAGGCAUCAGAAAAAGAAAAUCUGUAAUGGCAAAGCACUAUUAAAUAACUUGAAACAAAGUGGUAAAAUUUCGGCAAUAGCAGAAAAUAUUUUAGAACAUUCCUUUUCAGAUGUUUUAGAUAGUCUUCUUUCUAGAUGUGCCUUGCAAAAAAAGAAUGAUUAUACUAUUAAAAAAAAGUUUGAUGCGGAUUUAAGGACAUUUGCAUUAACGCUUAAUUUUUUGUCAUCUAAGGCUUAUGAGUUUUCGAAUUCUUCUUGUUUCACAUAUAUUUUUAUAAUUUGGUAGGUUGGAAGAUUAUUUACAACAGUCCAUAAAAUGUUUCUGGUUACUUGAUUU